UGGUGGAUGAUGGAGGAAAAAUAGGCGAUUUAUUCGACUCCACGAAGAAAGAAAAUCAAAAAGUACUAUCUUGUGAUAAACAAGAUGAAUAUCAAUAUCAAGAUUCUAUCAAGAAGUUUAGAUCUUUGUCAAUGGUGGAUGAUGAAGAUAAAAGAGACGAUUUAUUCGUUGAAUCGGAGAAAUUAGGGUUAUCGGGGCAUGAGAAGUUGAAGAGGCAUUCUAUCAAGAAGUUUAGAUCUUUGUCAAUGGUGGAUGAUGAAGAUAAAAGAGACGAUUUAUUCGUUGAAUCGGAGAAAUUAGGGUUAUCGGGGCAUGAGAAGUUGAAGAGGCAUUCUAUCAAGAAGUUUAGAUCUUUGUCAAUGGUGGAUGAUGAAGAUAAAAGAGACGAUUUAUUCGUUGAAUCGGAGAAAUUAGGGUUAUCGGGGCGUGAGAAGUUGAAGAGGCAUUGGAGAGAAGUUGGAGGUAGGGUUUGUGUGCCCGAUAGAUGGGGACAUGAGGGUUCUUUGAGGGAAUGG
rnacentral:lncRNA from 1 species